rfam:Brachypodium distachyon strain Bd21 chromosome 2, whole genome shotgun sequence.
GUACUACUCCCUCGGUCCAACAAAAGAUGUCUCAAGUUUGUCAAAAUUUGGAUGUAUCUAGACAUGACUUAAUGUACAGAUGCAUUCAAAUUUAGUCAAAGUUGAGACAUCUUUUGUUGGACCGAGAAAGUAUUAU